rnacentral:rRNA from 1 species
AAAAGAACUCUGAAUAGAGAGUUAAAUAGUACGUGAAACUGCUUAGAGGUUAAACCCGAUGAACCUGAAUAUCCAAUAUAGAGAAUUCAUCAUUAAAAUAGUAAUUUUUAUUAUUAUUAUGGUGUGCAUUUUCUCUAUAUAAAUGGACAUUGUAAUCUAUUAAUAUUAUAUAAUUUAUCAUAAGAUCGAUAGUAUAUGUUUAUUUUAAUUAAUUUACUUCGGUUUAUUAAUAUUAAAUAAUUUCUAUUGAUUUGAUAAAGUAUUAAUAGAUUUAAUCAUAUGUAUAAUGCAAAAAUUUCAUUAGAAAUUUUAUAAUAAUUUUAUUAUUAUAAGCAUUUAUACGAUUUACAAUGCGAAAGAUUCAGGAUACCUUCGGGAC